UACGAUGGGGGCUAGCGUUGUUCGGAAUUACUGGGCGUAAAGCGUGCGUAGGCGGUUCGUUAAGUCUGACGUGAAAUCCCCGGGCUCAACCUGGGACGUGCGUUGGAAACUGGCGAUCUAGAGUACGGUAGAGGGUGGUGGAAUUCCCGGUGUAGCAGUGAAAUGCGUAGAGAUCGGGAGGAACACUCGUGGCGAAGGCGGCCACCUGGACCAGUACUGACGCUGAGGCACGAAAGCGUGGGGAGCAAACAGG
rnacentral:rRNA from 1 species